ACAAGCAGUGGAGUAUGUGGUUUAAUUCGAAGCAACGCGAAGAACCUUACCAGGGCUUGACAUCCCUUGAAUCGGGAGGAAACUUCCGAGUCCUUCGGGACAAGGAGACAGGUGGUGCAUGGUUGUCGUCAGCUCGUGUCGUGAGAUGUUGGGUUAAGUCCCGCAACGAGCGCAACCCUUGCUGUUAGUUGCCAGCGCGUAGAGGCGGGCACUCUAAUGGGGACUGCCGGCGACAAGUCGGAGGAGGGUGGGGACGACGUCAAAUCAUCAUGCCCCUUAUGUUCUGGGCUACACACGUACUACAAUGACUGCAACAGAGGGAAGCGAGACCGCAAGGUGGAGCCGAUCCCCAAAAACAGUCCCAGUUCGGAUUGCGGGCUGCAACUCGCCCGCAUGAAGUCGGAAUUGCUAGUAAUGGCAGGUCAGCAUACUGCCGUGAAUACGUUCCCGGGCCUU
rnacentral:rRNA from 1 species